GAUGAACGCUAGCUACAGGCUUAACACAUGCAAGUCGAGGGGAAACGACAUCGAAAGCUUGCUUUUGAUGGGCGUCGACCGGCGCACGGGUGAGUAACGCGUAUCCAACCUGCCCACCACUUGGGGAUAACCUUGCGAAAGUAAGACUAAUACCCGAUGAUAUCUCUAUAAGACAUCUGAAAGGGAUUAAAGAUUUAUCGGUGAUGGAUGGGGAUGCGUCUGAUUAGCUUGUUGGCGGGGUAACGGCCCACCAAGGCGACGAUCAGUAGGGGUUCUGAGAGGAAGGUCCCCCACAUUGGAACUGAGACACGGUCCAAACUCCUACGGGAGGCAGCAGUGAGGAAUAUUGGUCAAUGGGCGAGAGCCUGAACCAGCCAAGUAGCGUGCAGGAGGACGGCCCUAUGGGUUGUAAACUGCUUUUAUAAGGGAAUAAAGUGAGUCUCGUGAGACUUUUUGCAUGUACCUUAUGAAUAAGGACCGGCUAAUUCCGUG
rnacentral:rRNA from 1 species